AUGGGACAACAAAAAAAAAAUUAAAAAUAGCAAAAGUAGCCAAAGUCUUUAUUUUUUACUAUUAGCAUGUUUUUACUGUAUUUAUGUUGCUACUGUACAUCUACUACAACAUAGCAGUUUUAAAACUUCUUUCAUAACAAACUAAAAGAUCAGUUUAACUAUUUUCUUUUCAUCUUUAAAAUAUGGCUUCUUUUAAAAAUUACAGCACCCGCCACAGUCACCAACCUGCAGGUGCAUCUUCAGGAUCAAAAUACGAUCAAAGUGAGCUGGCACAGACCCUCUACGUUCAACGGACCUGAGGAAAAAUAUAUAAUACGUCUAAAUACAGCUGAUGAUAAGGAAGUGACAAAGAGGGAGAAGCAGAGUUGUACACGAUGUGAAGUCGAAUUCAAAGAUCUGAGCUACACUACGAGCUACAAAGUGAAGGUGAGCGCUUCCAAUGGACAGUAUGAGAGCAGCCCUGUGAUAGUACAUAUUGAUACAUUACACAACAAUCCUGUCAUCACUGCUGUCCGAGUCUUCCUCACCAUCACACCGUUGGUCCUGAUGUGGGUAGUUUACAAGAUCAAAGUCCAGAAUCUAAAGCAAAGCUUAACAAACCAGAAUCACGAGGGAAGAAGGAGACCUGAUGGAGCCGCUCCACAAUCAUGAAGCUGAUCCAAAUGUAGCAUCACCUUUUUACUCUGGCAUAUAAAACUCUGUGGUAUCUAUUUUUGAUGUUGCUGCAGUUUAUUAUUUUUACAUGUGAUGCUUGCAUGAGAAUAUUUGACUGUGUUAGAAACUGUUCAUAUUAGUUUUAAAUGACCAAAUAAAUCAUAAUUAAUAGAAUCGUAAUAAUCAUGAGAUCGUUGCACAUUAUUUAACGUUCCUCAAAGUAACUUGAAGUCCUUCAAAAUCAGCACUUACUGCAACGACAUUUCCUUUGAGUUAGAAACGGGUUUAGGCACAGUCUUAUUAUUGCUGCGUGUAGCAUCGUACAAACUGAGACCGUUGUGUAAAACAGAAACAGAACAAUGAUUAACAAAGCUCAGAAAGCCAGAUUUGAAAACAAACAUAUCAAACGUUUGAUCCGAGAUAUUUUAAUAUUUAAUGAAAAAUGUUGAAUUUGAUGACAGAAACAACGUCUGACAGGUUCAACAAAGUGCUGCAAAAGUAAAAAUGAAAUCAAUUGAGGAGCACUUUAUGAAUAAUUGGGCUAACUUGGAAAAUGUCUCCAGCAAAUGAAGGAUAAAGUUUCACCGCUGUGCAAAAAACUGCAUCAGUUUCCAAAUAAUGUUUCUCAGCAUAAAACUGGGAAGAACCUCUCAGCAUCUACAAAAGUACAAAAUAUCCACAAAAGAUUCAUUAAAUGUGGAGAAAUCUCUGUGUGCAGGAGACAGGUCUGACAGUCAGUGCUGCAUGCUGUGACCUUUGGGUCCUCGGGGGGCACUGCAUUAAAAACAGGCACGAUUCUGUCACUGAAGUCACUGCACGGGCUCAGGAGUCAAUAUCUGAACACAGCUGUCCACAAAAGCAGGUUAAAGCUGUGUCAUGCAAAGAACUUGAUGCUGUCUAUUUGGGACAAAGCUCCUUUAAAAUCAGCCGAGGCAACGUGGAAAACUGUUCUGAGGUCAGACACACUCACAUUUCAUUCUUUUUGGAAAACAUGGACGCCAAGUCCUCUGGAUUAAAAAGGAAAGGGUUUAAAGUUAAAUGUGUUUCCAAAUAAAUUUGAAAAGAUUAAAUGAAUACAGAAUUAUGCAGUAGGUA